AGAACAUACAGUUGCUUCAUGGGAGUAUCCCUAAGGACCUUCACUCUGCGCUACUUUCCUUGCAAACUUGUCUGUGACUAAACAGCCAACCCCUACGGUGCAAAACCAUCUAAAAUUCCUUUCUAAAGAAAUACAAAAAAAAAAAUCAGCACUUAUGAAAUAAACUAGUAAAUCAAGCAGUUGUUCACACAUCAGCUCAUUCUGUCCAGUCAGGCACCUUGCAAGUCUUUGAGGAAAUCAGUCACCAAUCAGCCCAGGUUCACUUGGAAACCAUGGCGAUACUCCUUUUGUGGCCUCCUGAGUUCUGGGACCACAGACAUGAGGUACCAUGGCCGUCUGAUUCUCUUACAUUUGAACAAUGCCUCCUCUCUCCUUGUGAAUCCCCUGUUGGCAGUGUGAAGUGAGACCUGAGAGGCCUCCAACUACCUCUCCCCGGGACGGAUCUCUCCACUGGACCAGAACAGCUUCUCUUCCCAGGCUCCCGCCAGCUCCAGGCCUUCUCCAGCCUUUUCCUCCAUCAUCACCAGCCAGUCUCACAUCCUGACGUCUAUGUGAAA
rnacentral:lncRNA from 1 species